GACGAACGCUGGCGGCGGGCUUAACACAUGCAAGUCGAACGAAGUGGCGAACGGGUGAGUAAUACGAGGGUAACCUGCCCUCCUGUUUGGGAUAAGCAUUGGAAACGGGGUCUAAUACAGAAUAAAGGGGGUAGGGCUCUCGGCCUAUCAGCUUGUUUGUGGGGUGAUGGGCUGCCAAGGCGGUGACGGGUAGCCGGCAUGAGAGGGUGACCGGCAACAUUGACACUGAGCCACGGCCCAGGCUCCUACGGUGGGCAGCAUUGGGGGAUAUUGCACAAUGGGCGAACGCCUGAUGCAGCGACGCCGCGUGGGGGCUGAGGGCUUUCGGGUUGUAAACCUCUGUCGCUAGCGAACGGGUAGGUGGAGAAGAAGCGCCGGCUAACUACGUGCCAGCCGCCGCGGUAAUUC
rnacentral:rRNA from 1 species